rnacentral:lncRNA from 1 species
AAACUGAAGACGUUAUUUGGGAGGCAGAAUCCACAGGACUUGGUGACCGAUGGGAUUUCAGUACGGAAGACAAGGCCGAUGCCCAGGCUUCCGGCUUCUGGUUUGGAGAGUGUUGCCAUUGUUGACGUUGGGAACCGAGAAGGAGGUGCAGUUUGGAUGGGCACUGUAGGGCCUGGCUUGACAGGCAGCACAUAGGUCCACACCUGGGAUCCAAACCGGCAAACUGCAGGCCACUGAAGCAGAGCGUGAGAACAUAACUGCUACGCCACCAGGUUCUUCAGGAGAUAUUCCAGAAGAAGGUAUUGUUAUCAUAGGAGCUGAUGACUCUGUGGGUGUUAUUGCCUCUGAACAUCUUUCGGUGGAAGCACACAUGGAGGUGAAGGACAGUGAUGCUGAUGAUCCUGAUCCUGUGUCGGCCCAGGCUAAGGUGCG